GUAAAGUUUGCAGGUUUCUAUUCUUAUGUUUUGUUUGUUUGUUUAUUUAUUUAUGUGUAUAUAUAUUUAUUUAUUUAGAAAGUAAUGCCGCUUACAUGCAUUACGUUCCUAAAUAUGUGCAUUGUACUUUUUUGCUUCUCUGCGAGAGGGGCAAAUAAAGAAUAUAUGCAAAUAGCUAGUAAAAUAUUAUCACAUUUGAACCUUUUUUAUGUGGACAGAAUUAUUAAACAUGGACUAAUAUUCGACAUAGGUAUAUAAUGUCAUUUCUGAUUAUUACAGAAUCCUUUCGUAAAGUCACCAUAAUGAAAUAAUGUCAUGCACUGUGCAAUAUUUACCUGCCUAUAGGCAUCAUGUCAGAGUUUAAGCUCAGUAAUUGAAAUCAAUGCUAAUGUGUAAAAAUGCUUUGAGUAGCUAAUGUGAUUUUAAUAUGGCAACAUGAGUAGGAAAAACUUACUGUUUAAAUCACUGUUUUUCUCUAGAGUUUUUUUUGUUUGUUUUUUAAUUCAAAGUCUUGCGAAACCAUAUUUAUUCACAAUUUUGUAAAAUGCCCAAACUGUGAAAGUCUGUAGUAAUUAAGCAUGGAGGACUACAUGGAGUUGUUUUCAUUUUGAGGUAUAUAUUUUUUUCUCCUGAGACUGAAUUCCUCAGACACCAGAGAAGCAGUUUAAACUUGCACCGCAACAUGAGUGUUAAAGCAUCACUAAAUCAUGGAUCACCAAGAAGGUUCACCAGCCUCUCAUUCUAUCCUAUCUGCAUUUCCCUUGCCAGCUGCAGAGCCUAAAUGAAAUUUAUUAGGCUUUGGAGUAACUAAUCAUCUCUGUGUGGUAAUUACGGAUUAGCCUCUCAUCGGGGGAUGCUGCCGCUGAGGGCUGGCCCGGGUUUUCCAGUUGGUAUAAGAGCUUGUGGAAGCUAUGGGUUUGCCAAAACAUCAUACACUGAUGUACAGUUUCAGAAGGCUCUGGGGCGCUCCCGAGCCUCGCUUUGGACCAACGCUGGCGUUUUCAGUGCAGCAUUAAUGAUGUCGUCUAGAAAUGCUGCAGACAUGUUUGAGGGAUUUAUGAAAGAGAAGCUGGGUCCCUUUAGACAGCAGCAGAAUGCGCCAUCUCUGGAGCUGCUGUGCUGUCAGGGAGCCAGUGCAGUUGUGCUGUAAAAGAAAGUCUCGCUUGCCAACUCAUGUGCCAGGAAGAGAAGUAGAAGGAAAUAGAAAUAGCAGAUAGCUACAGAAGAACAAUGUCUUUCUUUUUCUUUUUCUUUUUCUUUCUUUUUUUUUUCUGAUGAGGAAACUUUAAUGAUGUGCCGCUUUGAAAGCAUCUGGUGAUGAAAACCCAAUAAUUCUCAGAUGUAUACAUGGACAUAUGCAAACAUAUACACACGUCCUGUAGAUCCAAA
ensembl:lncRNA